GGUUGCGAUCAUGCCAGCACUAAUGCACCGGAUCCUAUCAGAACUCCGCAGUUAAGCGUGCUUGGCGAGAGUAGUACUAGGAUGGGUGACCCCCUGGGAAGUCCUCAUGUUUCAACCUCC
rnacentral:rRNA from 1 species